AGAACGCACAAAAAUCGGUCAAAAGUCAAAAAUCGACUUCAGUGUGGGCUUUGUUCGUGGUCUUCUGGUACCCGUUUCGACUGAACGCUGCAACUCGUGUGCUGAGAUAAAUGGCAAUGUUUACAACCACAGAGAGCCCAUSAGACAUGCACACUACACAGGCAACCCACCCACACACAAAAUUAUCUUAAGGAUCAGAACCUAAAAAGCUUGAAGUGAGUGAAGUGAACCAAGUAGCCAUUUUAUAGCACCUAACAAGAACUCAUCACCUUUGAAUAACCGGAUGGAUGACAAAACAUACCCUCGAGUUCUCCGGAUAAAAACCGAAUAUACUGGCCCUAAGUAUUGUGUCAAGAC